UACGGAGGGUGCGAGCGUUGUCCGGAAUCAUUGGGCGUAAAGGGCGCGUAGGUGGCGGGACAAGCGUGCGGUGAAAGCCUGGGGCUCAACCCCGGGUCGGCCGUGCGAACUGUUUUGCUUGAGCACUGUAGAGGCAGGCGGAAUUCCGGGUGUAGCGGUGGAAUGCGUAGAGAUCCGGAAGAACACCGGUGGCGAAGGCGGCCUGCUGGGCAGUAGCUGACACUGAGGCGCGACAGCGUGGGGGAGCAAACAGG
rnacentral:rRNA from 1 species